ACGCAGACACCCUGACACCCCCCGGCCCUGGAAAAAUGGCAAAGGACCACGGUGCCCUGCCCAGCCGCCUGCUGCAGGGAGAGCAGCUCCCUCAGACCCGGAGUGCUCUGCUGUGCCGGCUGGUUCAUCAGCACUCAGGCAGGCCUGGGCAUGCGCUCACAGAGAAGCUCGAGGUUGCCAGAACACAGGAAACGCCUCUUCUUUCCUGUGACCACGAGGCCACGUGCUCACCUGUCUGCAGAAUAUCAACUUUUAAGGGGCUUUUCUCUCCUCAUUAAAAGACUUCACAGUGUGCUCUGCAUGGCGAGGGGACACACCGUGCUCCCAGGGGGAAGUCAAGGACGGCCUCCACCGGUGACAACACAAGAACAGAGGGGCCCACGAUUCCUCUAAGGGAGACGGGGACAGAGGGUCAGACG
rnacentral:lncRNA from 1 species